ensembl:lncRNA LY6E-DT LY6E divergent transcript
GGCUCCUUGGGAUAGAUGGGGAAGCUGAGGCCCAGAAGGGGGCUGAGACCACCUCCCAGUUUCCCCAGUGAGGUGGCGCCUGAGCCACGGCCAGGCCCGGCCUCCUUCCACCCGGCCCUGCUGUGCGCGCGGCGGGUGCUGACCUGGCGAGGCCGGACAGGGGACCAGGUCGGGGUGACCGUCACUGACACCUGGACAGUCCUCGUUGUGUUCGGGGUGGGAAGCCCACGG